GAGAAGAACAAAAUAUAAUUACAUGUAUACUGACUGACCUUAAAAACGCAACACUCAUGUUGUUGUUUUUUUUUUACAAAAUCAUGUUUGAUUCAGUUUAAUUUCUCAUACAACUACUAUUCAUGCUAACCAUGCUUCUCUCUCUUUAGAAAAAAUCAAAAUCUGACUUACCUGUGGUUAUUGAACUAACCGGAUUUUUGAAGCUGAACGAAUUUCUUUAAGCGAAAUUUGGAACCCUUAAAAGAUUAUGUCAGUUGUUAUAGCUUCGUAAAACAAUUCUUUCUUUCCUUGGCCACACAUAAAUUAGUUUAAAAUGUUUCAUGUCCAUCCUGACAAGACUGAGGAAUAAAAGACCAAAUCUACCCAUACGAAUACUGCAAACAGAAAACCGUGAACGUGCUGCAAACAUACAGUUUUACUUCAGAAACUCAUCUUACUGUUCUUCCGACAACGAUACAGGUAGACGGGAUUUGUUGCUGACCAUCAAUGACCAGAUCAACAUGUAGUGACAAUGCAACGUCAAUAGAAUUUGAUAACGCAACGUCAUUUGCGAGACACGUUUACGGCCGCAACAUCAACUGCUAAUCAAAUUGCCGAAUGCCAUUGAGCACAGAUCCAUGCAAUAAAUGUUUCCCAUAAAAUGUAAUGCCAAUGAAUCGGCUGAAGAAAAACAUUUGAAGCCCGAAAGUUUCAUCCGCAUAAUUGCCAAAACCCAUUGUAAAAGGUGGGAAAACAAAGGAGAAAUCAGAAGGUGUAAAACAGAACCCCAAACAUGUUAAACAGAAUUGGUUGACCUUUCUGGCAAUCAUUUCGGCGUUUGUUACAGGCAGUUAUUGCUUUCGUCGGUGACACAUUCAUUCAAAAAUUUAAAAAGAAUAAUUUAGUGUUGCGUUAUUAAAGUCGGUCAGUAUAUAUGUAUCUCACCUUUCAACCAUUAUAGAUGUUUCAAAAAUAUUUAUACUUGUUGAAAUUUUAAUAGUAUAAUGAUUUCUAUCAAUUCAUCUGUACAGGGAUUUUUUUCAUUGUAUUGUGUAAGAGACUAUCGUCUUGAGAAUGCAUGCAAUAUUUGCAACUAGACGUUAAGCAAUCAAAGAAUUUAUAUAAGUUAGAGACUACAUGUGAAUUCAAAAUUAUAUGUUAAGUAAAACAUAAGUCUAAAUUAAUUUUUGAUCUAUCUAUUAAUUUGUUAUAGUCAACUAAGAUUGAUUGAUUGGUAUUUAACGCCUCUUUCAAUCAACACUAGUGCGCUAAUUUAUGGCUGGCGGUCAGUUUUUAUAGGCCGAGGAAGCUAGGGUGCCCGGAGAGAACCUUCGACCAUCGGUAGGAUAUCUGACAAUCAUAAUAGAAAGGCAACCGAAUUUAUAAUAGAAUUUCUAAACACUCUACUCUUGUGUGCCAUAUGUCUACAAAAAAUUAUGUAUGAAAUAUGGAUAAGUUGUAAUCAUGCAAUAUUUUUUAUUAAAUCUUUAUUUAUUUAUUUUUAUGUAAGGGGCAUCAGAUGUGUGCCACUUUUAUGUGCUUUAGUUUUUAUUUCAUAUUUCAUAGCUAAGUUAGUCUUAUAAAGAGCCACGUUGAAGACCAACACGGAAAACAAAUUAUUAUAAUGUGCGCACAAAAUAUUAAAUUGUGCGCAUAAUAUAUUAUAAAGUGCACACACACUAAUAUAUUGUUUAGACACAAUAUUAUAUAUUGUGAUCCCAAUAUAGUAAUUGUGCGCACACUUUAUACUUUUUUCGAGCCUUCACUUUUGUCGAAGCGAGAUAUAGCGAUCCUACAUUCCAUCGUCGGCGGCGUCCACAAAUAUUCACUCUGUGGUUAAAGUUUUUUGAAAUUUUAAUUACUUUCUUCAACUAUCCUGAAUUUCUACCAAACUUGGACAGAAGCCUGUUCAUGAUCAGAAGAUGGUAUCCAGAAGUAAAUUUUGUAAAAAUAUUUUUCCGGUUUUUCCAUAUGUUACUUGAUUAUGUACGUUGUUUUCUUCCAGGUAACAUUACAUACAGCCUGCAGUUAAAGUUCCUGAAACAUUUAUUAGUUUCAUAAAGUAGGCGAUACACUGGGUUCCGCGUAACACUUACAUUUUAAUCUGUAUAGGCCCCAACGUGGCUUCAUAGUCUAAUUCAUUUGUGUUAAGCUUCACAGUUGUAGAACAGUGUAAAUAUCAUUUCAUCAUUCUUUUGCUACGGUCAAAUAUUAUUUUUGUUAUUAUACAUGUACGUUUUAGUCAUGUAUAAACUUAUGAUCUAGUUUGAUUUUUAAAAUAUCAAAUUGUUAAAUUUGUUAAAUUCCUUUGUACAGUAACAAUAUUCUUGUGAUGCCAUCUCCGAAACAAUGGCUGUUUUCUUUGCUACUAGGUCUUUCAAAUCAAGCAUGGCGUAGUUUAUUGACGAUAUCGAGGCUGUAUAUGGCAUAAGGUUGUCAAUGUUGUCUUACAAAAAAAUAAAUGACUGAAGACUACACCUUGAUUUUUUAAUUUCUCUUAUUGUAAAUAUACCUUCUUUUUGUUAAUUUUUCUGCUUCUUUUAUCAUGUUUAUCGUACAAUAAUAUUUAUUUAUAAUCAUGAAGUUAUUGUUAUAUGUUUUAAAAAUAAAGAUAAAUAUAUUUUAUUAAAUAUAAACAAACAUUAUGUUUAUGAGAAAGAAAGCAUACAAGUGUUCAUGGCUUGUAAUGUGAAGACAUUAAAACAUAUUAGUUGAUUGUUGUCGUUUGUUUUGUCCAGUAUUGUCCAGUGGCAUAUAUUUCAUGAAUUUCAUGGUCGCGAACUUGAUAUAACGUUACUGAAAACAGGUAUGUUUUAUAUGGCUAAAAAGUUAUUUCAGAAAUAGAAAAAAAACAAUGAUUAUCGUGCCAACGAUCGAGAAUGAAGGCCCAGUCGGGGUAAAAUAUUCGCAAUUAAGGGUUGUCCAUUAAUUUUUUUGAAAGAGGACUGAGGAAGAGACGUUGCGGUUUAGAAAAUGAAAUUUGAUACAUUUUAUAUGUUACAUUUUUUUCUGCAUGUGGUAUGUACAUGUAGAUAAGAACAGGUCUGGAUCUGUUACCCUUUUAGAGCACAUGAGAGGUUUUAUGUUGGAUCCGUGUUGCUCAGCAUUUAGUUUUAUAUGUUUCCUGUAGACCAUUCUUUUUUUUACGUUGUUAGUUUGAGGUAUUCGAUUUAUGAGCUAAAUAUCUGUUCGGUGUCUCUUGUAUUUAUUCCCUUUUGAUUUGUGUCAUGUUAUGUCAAACAAAUAAAAACACGUUGUUUGUAAAUUAAAAUCUUAAAUAAAAUCUAAAAGUACACACUUCGAUUAUCAUCAGGGUACAUACAUGUAGCAUACGUGUAUGAUACAUGGUUUCAUGUAGGAUGUGCCAAGAAAAUCGCAUUAAAAUGCGGACGGCCUAAUCUCCCAAUAUGACUGUACUGCACCUAUUCAAACUUUUAACUUUUAAUUAGUUCUUAAAAAAGUUGGCGAAAUCUCCCGGCACGCCUGUACUUUAUACUUUUUCAAAAUGUUAAUCAAUUCUUAUAAUGAAUAACACUUGUAUAUUUAGGGAGUAUAACUUGCAGAUUUAGAUUAAAGUCAACAAUUUUAACUUUUGGCUAUGUAUGAAUAAAUUUUUUGAAUACUUAUUACUAUUUCAAAUAUUCUGACACUAUGUUUCAACUGGGAAGUCGACAUGUUAAACCCAUUUCGAAUAAAUAUAAAAUAUAAUUACUUUUUGCAAAGUCCUUUAUUAUCAAUUACGUUCGAAAAGAUCAACUUCGUUUAAAGAAAGACAUCAUGCAUAAAGUAUUACGCAAUUUUAAAAAUACUAAAUUAUAUAAUUUCUGACGUAAAUGGUAUAACCAUUUGUUGUUAUUUGUUUAUGUGCCAGAAAGAAAGUGAAUAUUUAUUACAGCACAUUUAUAUGAAUGAUUUUUUUAGAUGAAUCCAAUUUAAGAUAUAUGAAGUAUAUAUUAGGUGUAAACAAAAAGUCUUCUAACCUAGCUGUGCUAGGAGAGCUUGGUAGAUUCCCUUUAAAUUAUAUUUUUCAGUUGUAUUAUCAAUGCUAAAAUAUUGGUUUAGAAUAAAGAAUAUGAAAGAUGGUUUACUGUAUGAUACCUAUAUGUGUAACAAAAACAUGUUUAAUAAUAAUAUUGAAUGCUGGUAUUCAUCCAUACAUUUCAUUUUUAAAAAGCUGAAUAUUCAUAAUUUAGAGGUGAAGCUCAACUUUUUUAUCAAGUCAGUUAAUCAAAAACUUUGUAAUAGUUUUGUAAAAUUUUGGAACACAAAAAGAACAGAUACACAGAGUAGUAAACUAGAUACUUAUUUCAAACUUAAAACUUGUUUUUCGAAAGAAAUGUAUCUAUCUUUAACAAUUUUCAAGUGAGAAGUGCCAUGUGUAAAAUUAGAAUCAGUGCACAUGAUCUCAAAAUAGAACGAGACAGGUAUAAAACAUUAUAUAUAGAAAGAGAUCAAAGGCUUUGUAAGAAAUGUACUCUAAAUCUGGUAGAAGAUGAAAAACAUUUUAUAACUACAUGUAGUUGUCCAGCAUACAAAAAUAAUAAGGAGAUAUUUUUCGAGGAGAUAAACUGUAUUUGUCCUAAUUUUAUACAUCUUUCAAAUGAGGCAAAAUUUGUUUGGUUAUUUACUAAUGAAAAGUCUGUACUUAAAUAUUUAGGGAGCUAUAUUAUUACAUGUCUAGAUGUUAGACGAAAUGAGAAUUAAUGUAUGUAAUAACAAUGAUAAUUGUAAUAAUUUUAUGGUUCUGAUCCUGCCUGGAAUUAAAUGUAUAUGAUUUUUAUAGUAUGAAGAUAAGGGAGCUACCAUUUGAUUUUUAUGGGGGGGG
rnacentral:lncRNA from 1 species